AGUCAAGUAAUUAAGUGCAUGUGGUGGAUGCCUUGGCAGUCAGAGGCGAUGAAAGACGUGAUAGCCUGCGAAAAGCUCCGGGGAGGCGGCAAAUAUCCUUUGAUCCGGAGAUGUCUGAAUGGGGGAACCCACCUACUUUAAGGUAGGUAUUGCAACAUGAAUACAUAGUGUUGCAAGGCGAACGAGGGGAAGUGAAACAUCUCAGUACCCUUAGGAAAAGAAAUCAAUUGAGAUUCCCUCAGUAGCGGCGAGCGAACGGGGAUCAGCCCAUUAAGUUAUGUGUGUUUUAGUGGAACGCUCUGGGAAGUGCGAACGUAGAGGGUGAUAUUCCCGUACACG
rnacentral:rRNA from 1 species